rnacentral:rRNA from 1 species
CCUACGGGAGGCAGCAGUUUGGAAUUUUGGACAAUGGGCGAAAGCCUGAUCCAGCGACGCCGCGUGGACGAUGAAGGCCUUCGGGUUGUAAAGUCCUUUUAGCAGGGAACAAUAUUUUGAGCGUACCUGCAGAAUAAGAGGUUGCUAACUCUGUGCCAGCAGCAGCGGUAAUACAGAGACCUCAAGCGUUAUCCGGAAUCAUUGGGCGUAAAGCGUACCGAUAGGUGGUUAAGAAAGUCAGAUGUGAAAUCUCCGAGCUCAACUCGGAAUCUGUCAUUUGAAACUUCUUGACUAGAGGGGCAAAGAGGAAGCCGGAACGAACGGUGUAGUAGUAAAAUGCGUUGAUAUCGUUCGGAACACCAAUAGCGAAGGCAGGCUUCUGGGUGCCACCUGACACUGCUAGGACGAAAGCGUGGGGAGCGAAUGGGAUUAGAUACCCCAGUAGUCCACGCUGUAAACGAUGUACAUUAGGUGCUAGAGAGUAUCGACCCUCUUUGGUGCCAUAGCUAACGCGUUAAAUGUACCGCCUGGGGAGUACGGCCGCAAGGCUAAAACUCAAAUGAAAUUGACGG